GAAAGUAUAGCUCAAGUGGUAGAGCACAUGCUUAUAGCAAGCAUGAGGUCCUGGGUUCAAUCCCCAGUACCUCCU
rnacentral:tRNA from 1 species